CCUACGGGAGGCAGCAGUGGGGGAUAUUGCACAAUGGGGGGAACCCUGAUGCAGCGACGCCGCGUGUGGGAAGAAGGUCCUCUGGAUUGUAAACCACUGUCGUCAGGGACGAAAAUGACGGUAGCGGGCGAGGAAGCUCCGGCUAACUACGUACCAGUAGCCGCGGUACUAGGCAGGGAGCGAGGGGUGUCCGGAAAUACGGGGUGUAAGGGGAGCGUAGGCGGGGAAGGAAGUUGGGGGUCAAAACUAGCGGCUCAACUGCGAGUCGCACUCGAAACUGCAGCUCUUGAGUGAAGUAGAGGCAGGCGGAAUUCGCAGUGUAGCGGUGAAAUGCGUAGAUAUUGGGAAGAACUCCGGUGGCGAAGGCGGCCUGCCGGG
rnacentral:rRNA from 1 species